ensembl:lncRNA LINC01586 long intergenic non-protein coding RNA 1586
GCCAGCAGCGGGCAGCCUGCGACUCCUGCCAGGGUCCAGCGCUCCGCUGGGGUAGAGUCCGUCAUUAGUGCUGAAUCCAGUUGUGCCCGGACCAGAAGAGACACCAGAGCCAGUCCCGUCCCCUCCCCGGGCUGGUCAUAGCAGGGCCAUUUCCUAUUCUUCCACCACCUUACCUGGGCAGGUCAGACCCGGUUCACCUGACCGCUCACAGACGUAUUCUCACUCACUCUCGACCGACGCAUGCUGGAGCAGAGCACACCCAGGCAGCGCCCAAGCGGGACUCACCCACCUGCCCGGGUCCUCGCCUGCACACACGACAAACUGAGGCUUCAAAGCAGCCUUGAGAGCUUCAGAACAUGACAAACCCACUACUGAUCCAGUGCGCAUCUAGGGGGCGCAAACUGGUGACCAACGAACCAGACAGGACACAAAAAUGUUUGUGAGGCUCCCACAGUAUUUUAAAAAUUUGAAGUACUUGUCAAAAAGAUUGGAAGAGUUCACAGAGAAAUCUGGGUUUUCCAUCUCUCUCUCCCUCUCUCUAAAACAAUAUCCAUGUCAUGGCCUUUCCAUGUCUCUUGAAUAGGGGCUGGCAUUCUGCAUGCAGGGAGAAGCCCUGACCAGUGUACACAGGGCUGGGGUCCAGGCAAAAGUAGCCCCUCUUCCCCUUUUUGUCAAUAUCACCAAGCCCAUUUAUCAUCAAUCUUAUCCUUUUACGUUGUUUUCCUAUAGUAAAGAGGAAAGUGU